UACGUAGGGUGCGAGCGUUGUCCGGAAUUAUUGGGCGUAAAGGGCUCGUAGGCGGUCUGUCGCGUCGAAAGUGAAAACCCAGGGCUUAACCCUGGGCCUGCUUCCGAUACGGGCAGACUAGAGGUAUGCAGGGGAGAACGGAAUUCCUGGUGUAGCGGUGAAAUGCGCAGAUAUCAGGAGGAACACCGGUGGCGAAGGCGGGUCUCUGGGCCGAUAUUGACGCUGAGGAGCGAAAGCGUGGGGAGCGAACAGG
rnacentral:rRNA from 1 species